CCUGGCUUCCCUCUGAGAUUCCACAGUCUGUUUCAUGCUUCUGUGUCUCUGGAUCUAUUUUGUUCAUCGGUUUAUUUUUGUUCUUUAGAUUCCACAUAUGAGUGAGAUCCUGUGAUACUUGUCGUUCUCUAACUGUGUAAAGAUCUCAUUUUUAAGUGAUUCAGGCAGUUAUUUCGUUGGGUGCAUAUGUUUACAUCUGAGUGCUAAUGCCACAUCGUCUUUGUUACCUUGUCUGCUCCCCUAAGAUUACUUAAAGUCUUCACUACCAUUUCCAGUGCUGAAGGUAAUGCUAAUGGUAAAUAUGGAAAAUAGUUGAGAAGUAAGAGACUGGAUUGAGAAGAGGGAGGGGAAAAAAGGACAAGUGUAAGCCAUGUGUCUGAGAUAUACUUGUUUAAAUGAAGAGUCUACACUGGUUCUUAAAAUGAAAAGCAAACUAUGUACCUACCUUGAGGAUAAUGUUGUUGUUUAAUUUAUGUUAGUGAUUUAGUUUUAUUCUUGUAAUAGUUCUAUUUUUCUUUGAAGAUUGUUUUUAAUUUAAAUUGUGGAAUUUUUACUUCUCUUAAAAGGUAUUAUGUAAUGUAUUUUUAGAAAUCUUAUUUUUAAAUAAAUAUUUUUUAAAAACAUAGGACUGUCUUUCCCCCACUUCUUUAUUUAUUAAAAUCAAACCAAAUUCUAGACGAUAGCACCGUCAGUAUAAUAGAUAAUUUUUUCAGUUUUAUACAAUUUGGAUGACUUCAAAAUUAGUAGCCUUAGGAUAUUGUUCUGCUGUAACCAAAAAUUCACUGUGUGUUCAAGAAGAACUAGGUAUACGUACUAUGGUUGAAAUUGACAAAUGCAAUAUUCCAAAUUAGGCAUAUUCGUCUCAGAGACGACCCAGAUGGAUAGAUUUAGUCACACAAUUGAACAUAUAUUGAGCCAGACACUUUUGUAUGGAAAUAUUUUUUCUUUGAGGAGUUAUUUACAUAAAAUAAAAAGCAUAGAGUUUUAGUGUAUGUCUAGGUAUUAUUUUAGAUCUAGGAAUAUUGAAUUACUUUGCCUUUGGUCUAAUGGAGUUAUAUUCUAAGAGUUUCUGGAUAGCUUUUUAUUGACAAAUUUCUGUCUGAAUUUAAAGUUGCUUUACUUGUACAUGGGAGUUGUCACAGAGGAGUGUAUAUUAGUAUAAAUUGUCAAAAAUAUUAUCUGAAAGGUCAAAUCAGUAUUAUCUUAGAAACAGUAAAGGAAUAAAAACUGAGGCUGAUAGAGGCUUCACUUUUUAAAAAGAUUUUCUUGAAUUUUUAUUGCCAGAAAAGUAAAGUUGAUAAAUAUUCUGGAUUAGUACAUUAAAUGACUUGGUAGAGUUGCAUAUAAAACUGUAAAAUUUGUUGCAUUGGUAAAUAAAAGCAAAUUGUUGCAUUUUUGACAAACUUUCAAGCAUUAUAGAACUUUAAUCUUGUUCCUUUUCCAGUUUCCUUUGCUCUGAUUCUAAGCAGCAUUUACAAUAAUUGUGCUCUCUUAAUAAUGAUAAAUUAUGAUUCUCAAUCUUUUUGGUCUCAGGACUCCUUUACACUCAUAGACAUUAUUGUGGGCCCCAAAGAGUUUUCCUUACGUAGGUUGUCUUGAUCAGUAUUGACUGUACUAGAAAUUAAAACUGAGAAGUAUUUUAAAUGCUUAUUAAUUUAUUUGAUCAUAAUAACAAGCCCAUUGCAUGUUAGCAAUGUAUUUUUAUUUAGAGACCCAUGAUUUUACACUGUUUGCAGAUCUCUAAUAUCUGCCUUUAUAAAAGAAAGUUGGAUUUGCCUACUGCUUCUGCAUUCAGUCCGUUGCAUUGGUAUUGUGGUUGAACUCUCCAGAGAAAUCCAGUCUCAUGUAAAGACUGUACAGAUGUUUCUUGACCUAACAACGGGGUUGCGUUCCAAUAAACCCAUCGUAUGUUGCAAAUAUUGUGAAUGAAAGUGCAUCUAAGACACAUAAACUUCUGAACAUCAUAGUGUAGCCUGGCUGGUUUCUACUGAAUGUACACUGUUUUCACACCAUCGUAAAAUUUUAAAUUGGGAUCAUCUGUAGUUAGAAAAAAGAGGGAUAUUUUCAUAGUUUGUUCAAGUGACUUUGCACUUCUGUGAUACAAAACAAGAACUCAACAUGUGAUGCUUUCUUAAAGUUUAGUUACAAUUUUGGACCAGAAACAUUACGAAGAAACUUUUCCAUAUUCUGUUAUAUUAAAAUCUAUUGGUCUCUUUUUUUGUUCACUUUGGAAAGUUCUCUUAACCCAUACAUGAUUUUGUGACAUCAUUCAUUGGUCAUUUGGGAUAUAUUGGAGUAAUGCAGAUCUUCCAAGUGUUGCCACAUUUCAUCCUAUAACAAAUUAAAUUCGGUUAAGUUAAAUUUAAAAAAUUAAUAGUGCCACUGAUCUUGUCAGAAAAGUAGGUACUGGAAAGCUGUUAAGCUUGUAAUGACACGUUACAUUUUUCACAAUUCUGAUUGUCACUUGAAGGUUUGAAUUUUAUUAUUGGUAACCGCAUUCUGUCAAUGGUUUUCCUUCAAGUGUUACAUUCACUCAUUUUUUAGAAAAUAUUUGCCAUACACCCACAUGUGAAAAACCAUAGUUGGUCAAUUAUUCUUUCAACUAAAUGGGGUUCCAUGAAAAAAAAUGGCUACUUCAGCUCACAAAUCACAGUCGCACCGGUACUUUUCCUCAAGAAUAAACAAGCGUACUUUGGAAUGCAGGUGAAACGCUUUGUGUACUGCCCAUGUUGACAAACAAAAUAUUAAAAAUAUACUCAAAAAUCAAGAUUUAAUAAAGCUAAUCAUACUUACUGAUUCACCAAGGGGAUUACUGAAGACAUCGUUUGUAUAUUCCUGCUUUUGAAGCACUUAAAAUAUAUAGCAUCCUUAAAGAUUAAUAUCUAUUUAGCAUUGUUAGAAACAGACAAAAACUAAAAAUACAGGAUAAUAUUAUAAUACUGCAAAAUCAUUUGAGAAGCCGCCAGAUCCUGUAGAAGAACAAAUGCAUGCAAACGCUGCUCGAGGCUGACCAAUUACCCAUAGGAGCAGCAAUUAUAUUAGCGUGCAAGGGCAAUUGGAGGGAAAAUUGGACCCUGUGGACAUCCAGCUGAGCAAACAGGACUGAGGAAGGAUAGAGGAUGUGUGUUAGUUUGAAAAAAAUACAUCUAAGCUUGCUUAAAAAAUAUUUGUAUCCGUCACAGCACAUUCUUUGUAUGUCUUCUGGUUGCUCAUGGUUUUCAAAUUAGCCCUCUUCUCCAAACAAAAGAGCACCUCUGCUUAAAGACCAAACACCCAAAUAGCAAUGUGUUUUGCACAUAAAAAGGCCAGAAUAGUUCAGGAAAUGGGAAACUGAGUACACAUACCCAAAUGUUCAGAUGCUACUGUACAUAUACACAUGUGUCACCAGUAGUAGUUCACCUGUGGCAUGGUCUAGUUAUGUAUCCUUAAUGCUGAAAUUUAUUAUUAUAACUAAAAGUGUUCCCUAGCUCUAACUUGUGAUGAUUUUUGACAAAAACUUAAUGAUUAAGGAUCUAAUAGGGUGUGGAGGUUUUAUAGUUUCAUAUUGAACGAUGGAUGAGUAAUCCUUGAUGAAUAAGUGAUCACAUCAAGUUAAUGAAAUUUAUUGUAUAAAUUGUACGGUAAGCUGUGUAGCUGUAAGCCAAAUAACCCUCAUUCUAUUGAACAGGUUCACAUUUAAAUUGCAACUAGAAGUAACUGAUUUCAGAGUUUUUUGGGGUAGUCUACGCUUGUUAUGACUUGACGUUCUUGAGUGUUUGAAAGCAUUUCAGGUAUUCUCAACAUGGAAAAGUACCCACAAUAUGGAAAAUAAUACAUGUGCAUUUCUUUGGUUUUGGAAAUAAUUUCAGUAAUUUGAAUGAUCAUGAUAUUCAUACCCUUGUAGAAUUUUCUCCUUUUCCCUCCCUGGGGUUAACACAAUUCUAAGUUUGGAAUGUAUCAUCACAUACAUGUAUUUAUAUUUUUAUGUGUGUAAACAUGAAAAAUAGUUUGAUCAAUGUUUAAAAUUUAUAUAAACCUUCUAGCACUCCCUGCUUUCUUUCCUCUAGAGCACUUACCAUCUACAAUAAAAUGUGAAAAAUCCCCAUUCCCACUGUCCUUCACAAAGAUUUUAUGUGUCAGGGAUUCAGAAAGGGCACAAUAGUUUUUCUCAGCUAGAAAUACAUGAAGACUGUGAAGCGGGGUGAGUGUUACUGGAGACUCACCAGCCAAAGCCUCAUUUACUCACAUGUCUGAUGCUGGCUGUCAGCUGGGACCUCAGUUGGGGCUGUCAUAAGGAACACCUUCAUGAGCCUUUCCGUAUGUGUGCCUGUGUUCCAAGAGAGAGUGGUCCAAGAGAACCGGGCAGAACUUGUAUCACCUUCCAUGACUGGUCUCAGAAACCACAGCCUGCUUAGUCACAAGCCAGCCCAGAUUCCGUGAAAGAGGAUGGAGACUCCACAUCUUGAGAAGAGUGUCAAAGACAAAUGUCACAAGAAAAGCAUGUUGCAAGGGAGAUGUUGUUGAGGACAUCUAUGGAAAAUAAAAUUCAUCACAACCAUUAUGUUUUAUGGAAGAAUUCAAUGACCUUGAACUAAGACUUCUGGGUUUUAUCUUGUUUAAAAAGGCCUUUCCUAAAUCAGGAUUAUGUAUUUUUCUUUACUUUUCAAAAAAAUUUCAAUCAUUUUACUCUUUUGUACUUGUUGCUGAGUCCAUUUGAAAUUUAUCUUUAUAAACUUAGUCACUUUCAAUGGUUUUGUAUGUUUCUGUACAAUUUUAUUUUUGUAAUAAAGGUAUACUGGGAGA